rnacentral:rRNA from 1 species
GGGUGAUAGUCCCGUACACGAAAGCACACUUGCUGUGAACUCGAAGAGUAGGGCGGGACACGUGGUAUCCUGUCUGAAUAUGGGGGGACCAUCCUCCAAGGCUAAAUACUCCUGACUGACCGAUAGUGAACCAGUACCGUGAGGGAAAGGCGAAAAGAACCCCGGCGAGGGGAGUGAAAAAGAACCUGAAACCGUGUACGUACAAGCAGUGGGAGCCUCUUUAUGGGGUGACUGCGUACCUUUUGUAUAAUGGGUCAGCGACUUAUAUUCUGUAGCAAGGUUAACCGUAUAGGGGAGCCGAAGGGAAACCGAGUCUUAACUGGGCGUUAAGUUGCAGGGUAUAGACCCGAAACCCGGUGAUCUAGCCAUGGGCAGGUUGAAGGUUGGGUAACACUAACUGGAGGACCGAACCGACUAAUGUUGAAAAAUUAGCGGAUGACCUGUGGCUGGGGGUGAAAGGCCAAUCAAACCGGGAGAUAGCUGGUUCUCCCCGAAAGCUAUUUAGGUAGCGCCUCGUGAACUCAUCUUCGGGGGUAGAGCACUGUUUCGGCUAGGGGGCCAUCCCGGCUUACCAACCCGAUGCAAACUACGAAUACCGAAGAAUGUUAUCACGGGAGACACACGGCGGGUGCUAACGUCCGUCGUGAAGAGGGAAACAACCCAGACCGCCAGCUAAGGUCCCAAAGUCAUGGUUAAGUGGGAAACGAUGUGGGAAGGCACAGACAGCCAGGAUGUUGGCUUAGAAGCAGCCAUCAUUUAAAGAAAGCGUAAUAGCUCACUGGUCGAGUCGGCCUGCGCGGAAGAUGUAACGGGGCUAAACCAUGCACCGAAGCUGCGGCAGCGACGCUUAUGCGUUGUUGGGUAGGGGAGCGUUCUGUAAGCCGU